rnacentral:rRNA from 1 species
GUGGGGAAUAUUGGACAAUGGGUGAAAGCCUGACGCAGCCAUGCCGCGUGAAUGAUGAAGGUCUUAGGAUUGUAAAAUUCUUUCACCGGGGACGAUAAUGACGGUACCCGGAGAAGAAGCCCCGGCUAACUUCGUGCCAGCAGCCGCGGUAAUACGAAGGGGGCUAGCGUUGCUCGGAAUUACUGGGCGUAAAGGGCGCGUAGGCGGACAGUUUAGUCAGAGGUGAAAGCCCAGGGCUCAACCUUGGAAUUGCCUUUGAUACUGGCUGUCUUGAGUACGGGAGAGGUGAGUGGAACUCCGAGUGUAGAGGUGAAAUUCGUAGAUAUUCGGAAGAACACCAGUGGCGAAGGCGACUCACUGGCCCGUUACUGACGCUGAGGCGCGAAAGCGUGGGGAGCAAACAGGAUUAGAUACCCUGGUAGUCC